rnacentral:rRNA from 1 species
CCCCUCGAGAGUGGCGAACGGGUGAGUAAUAUAUCGGAACGUGCCCAGUCGUGGGGGAUAACGUAGCGAAAGUUACGCUAAUACCGCAUACGAUCUACGGAUGAAAGCGGGGGACUCGCAAGAGCCUCGCGCGAUUGGAGCGGCCGAUAUCAGAUUAGGUAGUUGGUGGGGUAAAGGCUCACCAAGCCAACGAUCUGUAGCUGGUCUGAGAGGACGACCAGCCACACUGGAACUGAGACACGGUCCAGACCCCUACGGGAGGCAGCAGUGGGGAAUUUUGGACAAUGGACGCAAGUCUGAUCCAGCCAUUCCGCGUGCAGGAUGAAGGCCCUCGGGUUGUAAACUGCUUUUGUACGGAACGAAAAGGUUUCUCUUAAUACGAGGAGCUCAUGACGGUACCGUAAGAAUAAGCACCGGCUAACUACGUGCCAGCAGCCGCGGUAAUACGUAGGGUGCAAGCGUUAAUCGGAAUUACUGGGCGUAAAGCGUGCGCAGGCGGUUAUGUAAGACAGAGGUGAAAUCCCCGGGCUCAACCUGGGAACUGCCUUUGUGACUGCAUAGCUAGAGUACGGUAGAGGGGGAUGGAAUUCCGCGUGUAGCAGUGAAAUGCGUAGAUAUGCGGAGGAACACCGAUGGCGAAGGCAAUCCCCUGGACCUGUACUGACGCUCAUGCACGAAAGCGUGGGGAGCAAACAGGACU